rnacentral:rRNA from 1 species
GAUUAACGCUGGCGGCGUGCAUAACACAUGCAAGUCGAACGAUGAAACUUAACUGAUUUCUUCGGAAUGAUUUUAAGUGGAUUAGUGGCGGACGGGUGAGUAACGCGUGAGUAACCUGCCUUGGAGAAGGGGAUAGCCUUUGGAAACGAAGAAUAAUACCCUAUGAUAUGAUAAUAUCUCAUGAUAUUAUCAUCAAAGAUUUAUCGCUCUAAGAUGGACUUGCGUCUGAUUAGUUAGUUGGUGAGGUAACAGCUCACCAAGGCAGCGAUCAGUAGCCGGCUUGGGAGAGUGUACGGCCACAUUGGGACUGAGACACGGCCCAGACUCCUACGGGAGGCAGCAGUGGGGAAUUUUGCACAAUGGGGGAAACCCUGAUGCAGCGACGCCGCGUGAUUUAGAAGGCCUUCGGGUUGUAAAAAUCUUUUGUAUGGGAAGAAAAUGACAGUACCAUACGAAUAAGGACCGGCUAAUUACGUG